UACGGGGGGGGCAAGCGUUGUUCGGAAUUACUGGACGUAAAGAGCUUGUAGGUGGUUUGUCGCGUUGUUCGUGAAAUCUCACGGCUUAACUGUGAGCGUGCGGGCGAUACGGGCAGACUAGAGUACUGCAGGGGAGACUGGAAUUCCUGGUGUAGCGGUGGAAUGCGCAGAUAUCAGGAGGAACACCGGUGGCGAAGGCGGGUCUCUGGGCAGUAACUGACGCUGAGAAGCGAAAGCGUGGGGAGCGAACAGG
rnacentral:rRNA from 1 species